UCUCACCGGCUCAAGGUUGACUCAGCCUUCCAUCCUUCCGAGAUAGUUUGAGCAAGGUAGAGUAAUAAGCUUGUGUGCAGAAGACCGGAAAGCCAGUGAUCCUUACUCUGUUGUUUGAGCAAAGUGAUUAGGUGGUGUGCAGAAGACUGGCAAGCCAGUGAGAUCCUUCCCCUAUGAUUUGAGCAAGGUAGAGUAAUAAGGUUGUGUGCACAAGACUGGCAAGCCAGUGAUCCUUCCUCUGUAAGGAUGGUGUGGUCUGUUCUGUGUUCAUCCUUGAGAUGGUGAAGUGCAAACAAUUAAAGUCUUGCUUUUUGUGAAGGUUGUUUGAGCAAUGUGAUGAGGUGGUGUGCUGAAGACAUGGAAGCCAGUGAUCCUUCCUCUGGUGUGUGAGCAAAGUUAUAAGGUGGUUUCCCGAAGACUGUCAAGCCAGUGAGAUCCUUCGUCUGUUGUUUAAGCAAAGUAAAGUAAUAAGAUGGUUUGCAGAAGACCGGCAAGCCAAUGAUCCUUCCUCUGAGACUGGUGAGGCCCCGCCUUCCACGCCUCUAGUGACUGCACGUCCCUGGAUUAGGAUAACAAGAACCCGAAGAUUCAGAAUUGGAAUUGGAAUUUGAAAAUUUGGGGGGUGAAUUUGUGAAAUUUGGGACUGUUGGAAGAGAAAGAAGAAAGAAGCAAGGGCUUCACCCGCCUGGAUCCUGCAAGGAAACCCCGGCUAAGUGUUUUAUGGCUGGAUGAAAUGUGCGGACGGUUCCAUCCAGACCACAGGGUCUGCAGCAAAGGCGCUUGGUGGCUCCCGUGGCACUUUAAAGCCUGGCACUUGGUGGCUCUCGCGAUGCAAAGUGCCCGUCUCCACAAGAAAGAAGCGAGGGCUUCUCCCGCCUGGCUCUUGCAAGGAAAUCCCUGGCUAAGUAUUUUAUGGCUGGCUGAAAUGUGAGGACGUUUCCAGCCAGACCACAGGGUCUGCAGCAAAGGCGCUUGGUGGCUCCCGUGGCACUUUGCAGCCUGGCGCUUGGUGGCUCCCGCGAUGCAAAG